rnacentral:rRNA from 1 species
AAUCAACGCUGGCGGCGUGCCUAACGCAUGCAAGUCGAACGAGAAAGUCCCCGCAAGGGAGUGAGUACAGUGGCGACCGGGUGAGUAACACGUGACUAACCUACCCUGAAGCGGGGAAUAACCUCGGGAACCGGGGCUAAUACCGCAUACCUUCCAGAGGGGAAGCUCCUGUGGAGGAAACGAGCAAUCGGCUUUAGGAGGGGGUCGGCGCCCGAUUACGGUAGUUGGCGGGGUAAGUGGCCCACCAAGCCUUUGUANCGGUAGCCGGCCUGAGAGGGCGCACGGCCACACUGGAACUGAAACACGGUCC